rnacentral:rRNA from 1 species
UGCAGUCGAGCGGACAGAUGGGAGCUUGCUCCCUGAUGUUAGCGGCGGACGGGUGAGUAACACGUGGGUAACCUGCCUGUAAGACUGGGAUAACUCCGGGAAACCGGGGCUAAUACCGGAUGGUUGUUUGAACCGCAUGGUUCAGACAUAAAAGGUGGCUUCGGCUACCACUUACAGAUGGACCCGCGGCGCAUUAGCUAGUUGGUGAGGUAACGGCUCACCAAGGCGACGAUGCGUAGCCGACCUGAGAGGGUGAUCGGCCACACUGGGACUGAGACACGGCCCAGACUCCUACGGGAGGCAGCAGUAGGGAAUCUUCCGCAAUGGACGAAAGUCUGACGGAGCAACGCCGCGUGAGUGAUGAAGGUUUUCGGAUCGUAAAGCUCUGUUGUUAGGGAAGAACAAGUGCCGUUCAAAUAGGGCGGCACCUUGACGGUACCUAACCAGAAAGCCACGGCUAACUACGUGCCAGCAGCCGCGGUAAUACGUAGGUGGCAAGCGUUGUCCGGAAUUAUUGGGCGUAAAGGGCUCGCAGGCGGUUUCUUAAGUCUGAUGUGAAAGCCCCCGGCUCAACCGGGGAGGGUCAUUGGAAACUGGGGAACUUGAGUGCAGAAGAGGAGAGUGGAAUUCCACGUGUAGCGGUGAAAUGCGUAGAGAUGUGGAGGAACACCAGUGGCGAAGGCGACUCUCUGGUCUGUAACUGACGCUGAGGAGCGAAAGCGUGGGGAGCGAACAGGAUUAGAUACCCUGGUAGUCCACGCCGUAAACGAUGAGUGC